AGAAAAGGCACAGGCCUGCCCUCGUCCUUCCUGGAGACUGAGCCUGGGCAGGCGGGAAGUGGGAAGCACGCACAGAAGGGAGCAGCUGAGGUGGGCGCUACUGCACUUCUGAAAUUAGACUGAUUGUCACCAGGGAGCCUCUGGAGCCACCUGGAGCUGUGCUGUCCUCUGUGGACAGGUGACUGCCACCUCCGUGCAGCCAGAGCGAUGUGGGUGUCAGGGCCGGGCCUAUACCCUUGGGCAGGAGGUCCUGGACCUUUAAGGCCACAAGUGUCAGGCGGCCAGGGUCUGCGGGGGAGCUGGCCGAGCGUUUCCACUGAGAGCAAGUGCAGCCGUCCCAACCUUCCCAAGUCCCCUGGGGAGUGCCCCGGCGUCAGAGGCACGAGGCUCUGCUGAACAUGCGCACGCGAGCAGCAGGUAAGCACGAGGGCACCUACAUGCGGCCUCAGGGCCCCAGGUGUGCACCGGCCCAGAGCCAAAGCCAGCAGAGGGGAGAGCUCCUGCCCCCACCUGCCCCCAAGAAGGACAGGUGCGGGAGGGUGCUGCUGCCAGCCCUCGCUGAAGCCGGUCCCUGGGGAGCUCCAGGACGGGCCCCAAGCCCAGCUUUGCUGCCUUUCAGGGAAGCACUGCUCCCUGGGUGUCUGGGUGAGGCCUGGGUGGGGUGUGCUCCUAUCCAGAGAGAACCCUGGAAGAGGCAGGUGGCCUUAGGAGAAAUUGAGGGAGGUAUAAACAUUUAUUUCGACAACAUGGCAAGGAGAAAAUACCUGGAUAUUCAAACAUGUUAUUCCAAACGUGGAGAGGGUGCGAUAUAAACGAAGGCAAGUUACUAGAGAACAUGAUGAACUCAGAGUCCUUCCAGGAGCCCUUUCGUUCUGUGACUGCGUCUAACACAGUGCAAACGUUCCUGAUGGUUUCCUGACGGAGGCCUGGACGUCGGAGCCCUGAAGCCCCAGCCCGGGGCAGUGGCAGGCUGUUCUCCGUCACUCUCCCAUUCUCUGCCUCCCUCCCCUCAGUGCCGGGGCUUCAGACCACCUCCCCACAGGAGCCCCAAGGGGAAAGGGGCCACCUCUGCAAAAACCCCCCAAACACCAGAGCUUGCUGGCACCUUCACAUUUCUUUUCUUUCUGUUGCAAAGCAGAGCUGACCGCUGUCCAGGACUUGGCCCGCCGUGAGCUGUGGGUCCCUGGCUCCCCACGCCACCCUGUAGCUCCAGGUGGACCAGUGUGGAAAGCACGGAAUGCCAGCAAUUAUGUGAGAGAUGCACAGCACCGCAAGAAAACAUGCACCAUCCUCACCUGCCCCCCUCGGUGAUCAAGCAGAUAAAUCGGUCAGUCGCAGGAAACGUUGCUCCCUGGCUGCUGUAGCUGACCCCGGUGCCCAGCACCGUCCGCCUCCCUCCCAGGGUCGUGGGCUCGUCUGUGACAGCAGAUGCUGAUGGCCCCGCGUGCCCAGCAGACCCGCUCCUGACCCCUGAAGAGUCCUGCGGCCCCGCUGACGAGGGCGUGGGCCCGUCUCCUCACCGCUGAUUGGGCGUCGCUGGCGCACGUGUGCCCGCAGAACGUGCUGACGUGCGAGGGGCCUGAGCGCACCAGCUGUUGUCGGCUCUCCCAGCUAUUCUAAUGGAGAGAAUGCUCCACCCACGUACGACCCCGCUGUAGAACACGGAUGUGCUGGCGUGUGCGUGCCUGUGACUUGACAGGACCCUGUGUGCUGAGCACUGGCUGCGCUGGGCUAGGGGGCAAAGCUCAUGCUGUUGGAGGACGGAACAGGGGGCUGCCUGAGGGCACGUGAAUGGCCCUGGAGCUGGACUGAGGCGGCCCGGGGAGCCCUCCCACUCCUCCAGGCCCCGCUGCCCUGUUGGGGACUGGACAGGACACUCUGGAUCCUUCUCCAGACUGCUGAGGCCAACGGAAGGGGAAGGAAGGAGGUGAGGUGAGUAUUUGGGGGCUCCAGUCAACUGGCUAAGCUGGGUUCUGAUCUCAGCGCUGUCUGUCCCCCUGCCGUCUCUCCCAAGGAUGCGGCCAAUGCCAGUGUUGUCUCUUGAAUUAAGCUUCUGAAUAAACUAAGUAAUACUUAA